GCUCUCUGUCGACAGCUUUCCGUGAUGCAGAGUAUUCACAAUCGCAGGCUUGACCGCAGUCCAGGAUUGGGGAGCGAGGAGGGAUCGACACUCUUGACUAAAUUCUCCUGAAUUUGUUGUUAACAUGUUCAAACCUCCACUCGGAGCGUCCACCAUCAUCUCGCUGGACCAAAACAUCUUUCGUUGAAGCUUCGUGUCCGAUUAAAGUCGUCUCGGUGUUCGUUGGUGUUUCUCGGCCCAGUUUAGCUUCGUGUGAACAAUGUGCGCAAGGACAUCAGAAUACGAGGAGGAACUUUGUGGAGAAAAAGAGGACCACAAGGGACAACGUCAACUGCUGGACGCCAUUGGCAGGAUGCAGCCAAGAGUUGUUCUUCACAGAUUAGGUUUGGUCACAACGUUCGUCUCACUUGUCUCGUCUUCUUUUUAAAAGCCUUCAACUGCUG